rnacentral:lncRNA from 1 species
GAAGACAGUACUACCCAGGGGGAGAUUUGCAAGUUUAUCUCUCCUGGAGCUAUCUGUCUGCAUUUCAAAGGGUUGUAAAUAGGUGGAGACCUUCUUCUCUUCCCAGAGAGGAUUUGUUUACCUUAGAGAGGAAAGGUCUGUUUCCUUCUCCUGCAGAGGAGCAGGCGGCUGCUGUGUGCCAGUUUCUGCAUAUAUGGGGGCUCCUAAUUCCAGGGUUCCCCUCCUGAAGGACUCCUCUGUACAUUAAGGGUGAACAUCUGCUCUUAUCACAUUGCUGCUCAGAGGGAAAAUGGAGCCUGGGGGACCCACACUGUUAUUGCUGAGGGUCAGUCAUCUAGUUUGCAUACUGCCGGAAACAGAAAUUUCAUCUUAGUGUCCUGCUGCAAGAGGACGUGUCUUCUGAGACCUCUUGGUAGGUGUUGGUGGGGAAGUGAAUAGGUCAUGCUUAAUAGAGCUACUCCAGGGUCCCUACGUCCCU